rnacentral:lncRNA from 1 species
ACAAAUCGACACUCGAUUAAAUUCAUUUUUAUCUAAUGCACAAAACAAGACAUUCAUAGCCUUUACGUUUAAAGUGAAAGUCUUCUUCUCCAACUCAUUCCAAUCAUUCAUUGGAAGAGAAGACUUUUGAAAUCCAUUUUCUACAAUAUUCCAAAGCUCAAAAUCCAUUGAAAUCAGGAAGAUCCUCAUUCUUGUCUUCCAAUAAU